rnacentral:rRNA from 1 species
UACGAAGGGUGCAAGCGUUACUCGGAAUUACUGGGCGUAAAGCGUGCGUAGGCGGUUCGUUAAGUCUGAUGUGAAAGCCCCGGGCUCAACCUGGGAAUUGCAUUGGAAACUGGCGGGCUUGAGUGUGGCAGAGGGGGGUGGAAUUCCACGUGUAGCAGUGAAAUGCGUAGAGAUGUGGAGGAACACCGAUGGCGAAGGCAGCCCCCUGGGCUAACACUGACGCUCAGGCACGAAAGCGUGGGGAGCAAACAGG